rnacentral:rRNA from 1 species
UCCAGACUCCUACGGGAGGCAGCAGUGGGGGAUAUUGCACAAUGGGGGAAACCCUGAUGCAGCGACGCCGCGUGGGUGAAGAAGUAUUUCGGUAUGUAAAGCCCUAUCAGCAGGGAAGAAAGAAGACGGUACCUGACUAAGAAGCCCCGGCUAACUACGUGCCAGCAGCCGCGGUAAUACGUAGGGGGCGAGCGUUAUCCGGAUUCACUGGGUGUAAAGGGAGCGUAGACGGCCGUGCAAGCCAGGAGUGAAAGCCCGGGGCCCAACCCCGGGACUGCUCUUGGAACUGUGCGGCUGGAGUGCGGGAGGGGCAGGCGGAAUUCCUGGUGUAGCGGUGAAAUGCGUAGAUAUCAGGAGGAACACCGGCGGCGAAGGCGGCCUGCUGGACCGCGACUGACGUUGAGGCUCGAAAGCGUGGGGAGCGAACAGGAUUAGAUACCCGUGUAG